rnacentral:rRNA from 1 species
CGUGUAGCCGGGUCGGUAAGUCAGAUGUGAAAUCUACGGGCUCAACUCGUAAACUGCAUUUGAAACUGCUGAUCUUGAGUAUCGGAGAGGCAAUCGGAAUUCCUAGUGUAGCGGUGAAAUGCGUAGAUAUUAGGAGGAACACCAGUGGCGAAGGCGGAUUGCUGGACGACAACUGACGGUGAGGCGCGAAAGCGUGGGAGCAAACA